rnacentral:rRNA from 1 species
GUCGGAUCGCGCUCAGAUUGAACGCUGGCGGGAUGUUUUACAUGCAAGUCGAACGGCACGGACUUCGGUCUGUGAGGGCGAACGUAAGUGGGAGUAAUGUAUCGGAACGUGCCUAGUAGCGGGGGAUAACUACGCGAAAGCGUAGCUAAUACCGCAUACGCUCGGGGGAAAGCGGGGACCUUCGGGCCUCGCACUAUUGUAGCUGUACGAUAUCGACAUUAGUUGGUGGGGUAACGGCUCACCAAGGCGACGAUCCGUAGCUGGUUUGAGACCCAGCCACACUGGGACUGAGACACGGCCCAGACUCCUACGGGAGGCAGCAGUGGGGAAUUUUGGACAAUGGGGAAACCCUGAUCCAGCCAUCUCCGCGUGUGUGCGAUGAAGGCCUUCUUGGCCGUUAAUUUGGCAGGUGCUGCACGGGAUAAUGCCCCGUGCAACUGACGGUACCUGCAGAAUAAGAAUGGCGAACGUACGUGCUGUGCAGCCGCGUACGUAGGGUGCAAGCGUUAAUCGGAAUUACUGGGCGUAAAGUGUGCGCAGGCGGUUCGGAAAGAAAGAUGUGAAAUCCCAGAGCUUAACUUUGGAACUGUAUUUUUAACUACCGAGCUAGAGUGUGUCAGAGAGGGAGGUGGAAUUCCGGGCGUGUAGCAGUGAAAUGCGUAGAUAUGCGGAGGAACACCGAUGGCGAAGGCAGCCUCUGGGAUAACACUGACGCUCAUGCACGAAAGCGUGGGGAGCAAAACAGGAUUAGAUACCCUGGUAGUCCACGCCCUAAACGAUGUCAAUCUUUGAAGGUUAAAUUUCGGCCUUGGUAGCGCAGCUAACGCGUGAAGUUGACCGCCUGGGGAGUACGGUCGCAAGAUUAAAAACUCAAAGGAAUUGACGGGGACCCGCACAAGCGGUGGAUGAUGUGGAUUAAUUCGAUGCAACGCGAAAAACCUUACCUACCCUUGACAUGUCUGGAAUCCCGAAGAGAUUUGGGAGUGCUCGCAAGAGAACCGGAACACAGGUGCUGCAUGGCUGUCGUCAGCUCGUGUCGUGAGAUGUUGGGUUAAGUCCCGCAACGAGCGCAACCCUUGUCAUUAGUUGUACGAAAGGGCACUCUAAUGAGAUCGCCGGUGACAAACCGGAGGAAGGACGACGUCAAGUCCUCAUGGCCCUUGGUGCGGGUCACAUCGCCAUACAAUGGUCGGGACAGAGGGUCGCCAACCCGCGUGAGGGGAGCCAAUCCCAGAAACCCGAUCGUGUCCGGAUCGCAGUCUGCAACUCGGACUGCGUGAAGUCGGAAUCGCUAGUAAUCGCGGAUCAGCAUGUCGCGGUGAAUACGUUCCUGGUCUGUACAACGCCUGUCACACCAUGGGAGUGGGUUUUACCAGAAGUAGUUCGGGGCCUAACCGUAAGGAGGGCGAGGUGGUAUCCAUGACCGGGGUGAAGUCGUAACAACAACAAGGUAG